rnacentral:lncRNA from 1 species
AAAAAAUAAAGAUGAAUUUUAUAUUUUGAUUUUAAAUGGAAGGCAGAGAUAUGCAAGUCAUAUAGUACUUCACAAACCUUAUUUCAGUUACAAAAGCAUAAUCAAUUGAUAACUUCUACUCUCUACCUUACAAAAGUAUAAUCAAUUGAUAACUUCUUUACUCUCUACCUUCCUUGGCAUUUCACCUGAGGUCAUACUUGUAGAGUGUGACCAAUAACUAAGCAAUUGACUAACCAAGACGAUAGUCACUGAAGUUACUCUCUUUCUCAGAAAACCCCAAUCAAUUUCAGAGCAAAGGUGGGAUACAACACCUAUUCAUUUCCUUCUUUGGGAAAGGGUCCCUUUUGCGAAUCAGAUAGAAGAGGAAAUUGGCUAACCUCUUUCAAAGUAUU